rnacentral:lncRNA from 10 species
UUUCAGGCAUCCUUGGAGCAUGCAGGCUGCAGAUUUCAGGCCGACCCCGCUAGCACCAAAGUCCAUGCUGCUGUCCGUGGCAGCUCAGUUUGAAAAUGGCCUGGUAGAAAGUCCAGGUUGUUGAACUGGGUCUGGCUGUUUUGCCCAGAAUGGAGUGCAGUGGCGUGAUGGUCUCGGCUGACAGCAGCCUCGACCUCCUGGGCUCAAGCCUUGGCCUCCCAAAGUGCUGGGAUUACAGG